UACGAAGGGGGGCUAGCGUUGCUCCGGAAUUACUGGGCGUAAAGCGCACGUAGGCGGUCUUUUAAGUCGGGGGUGAAAUCCUGGAGCUCAACUCCAGAACUGCCUUCGAUACUGGAAGACUUGAGUCCGGGAGAGGUGAGUGGAACUGCGAGUGUAGAGGUGAAAUUCGUAGAUAUUCGCAAGAACACCAGUGGCGAAGGCGGCUCACUGGCCCGGUACUGACGCUGAGGUGCGAAAGCGUGGGGAGCAAACAGG
rnacentral:rRNA from 1 species